rnacentral:rRNA from 1 species
GCCUACGGCCAUGCUACCCUGAACACGCCCGAUAUUGUUUGAUCUUGGAAGCUAAGCAGGGUCAGGCCUGGUUAGUACUUGGUUGGGAGACCACCUAGGAAGAUCAGGUUCUGUAGGCA